CCUGCAUGCCCGUGACGCAAGGAACGGCGAACGGCUCAGUAAUACUGCGAUGAUCUGCUCCGCGCGAACGAUAACCACGGGAAACUGUGGCUAAGAGCGCGGAUUGAGACGCAGCCCUAUCAGCCUGUUGGUAGUGUAACGGACUACCAAAGCAGCGACGGGUGACGGGAAAUUAGGGUUUGAUUCCGGAGAGGGAGCCUGAGAGAUGGCUCCCACGUCCAAGGACGGCAGCAGGCGCGAAAAUUGCCCACUCUCUCGCGAGGAGGCGGUUACGAGGCGUGACGGAAGGGCGCACUGUAAAGAUGUGCGCGAACGCGAUUGGAGGGCAAGUUCGGUGCCAGCAGCCGCGGUAAUACCGACUCCAAGAGUGUCUAUGGUGGAUGCUGCAGUUAAAAAGUCCGUAGUCGGCACUGCGACGAAAGCGCGCCGUUCGAUGGCGCAGGCGUUGCAGGAGCUUGCGGAGCGGGCGGGGGGCACGGUAUAGGCAGGCGAGAGAUGAAAUGGCCAAGACCCUGCCUGGACCGACGGCGGCGAAGGCGGUGCCCUCGCACGCAUCUGUGGAUCAAGGACGAAGGCCGGAGGAUCGAAAGUGAUUAGAGACCGCUGUAGUUCCGGCAGUAAACGAUGCCGACUGGAUGGUGCUUGUGGCACUGUGCGCGAGAAAUCUGUGAGUGUGUGGGCUCUGGGGAUAGUAUGCUCGCAAGAGGGAAACUUAAAGAGAUUGACGGAAGGACACCACCAGGAGUGGAGUGUGCGGCUUAAUUUGACUCAACGCGGGACAACUUACCAAUGCCUGGUGUGUUUGAGAGCGACACGCGAGACACGCGGCGGUGGUGCAUGGCCGUUUGAAAUGGAUGGCGUGAGCUUUGGAUUAAGUUCCGGAAGAUGUGAGACCCUUGGACUGCGCCUGUUGAGGGCGAGGAGGGAGUGGAACACAACAGGUCCGUUAUGCCCUGAGAUGUGUUGGGCUGCACGCGCACUACGAUAUUCUGCGGGUGCGGAGAUGUGCGGGAUUGAUGCUUGUGAAUGUGUCAUGAACGUGGAAUUCCUAGUAAGGGCUGUUCACUAGGCAGUCUUGAAUGGGUCCCUGUCCUUUGUACACACCGCCCGUCGCUAUCUAAGAUGGUGUUUUGGACGAAGACUGGGAGGUCUGAGUUCUGGAUGCUAGAUCAGAUAUAAGUCGUAACAUGGCUGCUGUUGGAGAACCAGCUGCAGGAUCAGUG
rnacentral:rRNA from 1 species